rnacentral:tRNA from 1 species
GGAAAUUCAGCGGCGGGGAAUAGGGCCUGUAAAUCUGCCGGCGUAUCGCCUUCGGUGGUCCGAAUCCACCCCCGUCCACCA